CCUCUCUCAGUUCGGCUGGAUCACACAACCCCAGUGUGUGUUUGGUGUAUUUCAAUAGAAAGAGAGGAAGACCCACCUAAUGUAUGGUUAAAUAAGCCCCAAAUCUUCUCUCUAUUCCUAGGUGUGACAGCU
rnacentral:snoRNA from 1 species